UUCCACAGCUACUGGUCUGGAACUGUUCUGAACUGUAGCAGUUUCAGUAUUCCAUCUGUGGGAAAUAAAUUGUUACAGUGUAUCAUGCUCCUUUUCAGGUAAGUUGAAAAGGACUUUCUGCGUAACAAACAGGA
rnacentral:snoRNA from 1 species